ACGAACGCUGGCGGCGUGCCUAAUACAUGCCAGUUGAGCGAUGAAGAUUGGUGCUUGCACCAAUUUGAAGAGCAGCGAACGGGUGAGUAACGCGUGGGGAAUCUGCCUUUGAGCGGGGGACAACAUUUGGAAACGAAUGCUAAUACCGCAUAAUAACUUUAAACAUAAGUUUUAAGUUUGAAAGAUGCAAUUGCAUCACUCAAAGAUGAUCCCGCGUUGUAUUAGCUAGUUGGUGAGGUAAAGGCUCACCAAGGCGAUGAUACAUAGCCGACCUGAGAGGGUGAUCGGCCACAUUGGGACUGAGACACAGCCCAAACUCCUACGGGAGGCAGCAGUAGGGAAUCUUCGGCAAUGGACGAAAGUCUGACCGAGCAACGCCGCGUGAGUGAAGAAGGUUUUCGGAUCGUAAAACUCUGUUGGUAGAGAAGAACGUUGGUGAGAGUGGAAAGCUCAUCAAGUGACGGUAACUACCCAGAAAGGGACGGCUAACUACGUG
rnacentral:rRNA from 1 species